UAUGGUUAAAGGAAAAAGGAAGUUUAUUUCAUCUUAUGUCAAUGAAUAUGACCACAAAUUAGCAGAUGAUAACACAGCACACAAGAAACAGCAGGGAAGAGCAGGACAAGGACAGAACACACGUCCAAUCUUAUAUGAUGGAACGGUCCAGCACCCAAAACUUUAGAUAUUUAAUUAUUUCUUUGUUGUGCAUUUACAAUACACUCCGUCAUUGAUUAACAAAAAUAAUCAAUUGUAAUGACCAUGAGCACCCUCUCCUGCUCUUCUACACUUGUUCCCAUCUACCACACUCUUCUUCAUCAGACUUAAUGCCCUCACAUUGAACUUCUCAUUAGAUUCCACUCAACACCUUGGGAUAAUGAGGUAUUGUGAUGAUCGCUGUGAAUCCCAGCUAAGCUCGUCUUUCCAUAGGAUAUGUGCAGCAACCUUUUGUCUAGUCCCACUUUAGGUCCCUUAUCUCAUCUAUUUUUCUAGUAACUGGUAACUAUUGUCCCAGGUUCCUGCUCUUCCCCAAACCAAAAAAACAAAUAAAUCUUUGCUGCCUUAUAAAUUCCUGCUUUAUGCUGGAGAAACAAAGGACUGCAGAUGCUGAGUUCCUCCAGCAUCAUGUUUUUCAUCCUGCUUUAUGCUCAUCUGACUUUUUUCUUCCUCAAUUUCCUUCUGCCCAUUUCUAGAAAUGGGGAUAGAAUAUUGACCAAUAUCCACCAUAAGCCCAUUGCAAUCAACUCCUAUUGUUACCAUGACUACACAUCCUUCCACUUUACUUCCUAGAUUCUAUUUCACCAAUUUCCCAAUCUUUAUAAUUUGAUUAUGCCAGUUUCUGUAACUGGCAUUUCUAGUUCCUUUUUCCUCUGCCAAGGAUUCCUUUCCACUUUGGCUGACUGUGCUCUCAAGUUUGUACAAUUUCCCCACAGUUCUGCCUCACCGCUUAUGCUUUCUUCCAGACACUUGAUGGACUGAACCUUGUCCUCACCAGCAAUCAUGUUUAACAAUUAAACUCUGACACAUCCAGUACAAUACCAAAAUAUCUUCCCCUCCCAGCAUUCCAAAGAGGCCAUUCACUCCGUAACCACUCUUCAAUUACCCUUGCAUUCUCUCAAUUUUCAAAGCAGCACAGGAGGUGUAACACAUAUCCUUUCAAUGCCUCCCCAUUGUCCAGGAUCCCAAUCAUACCUAUUAGAGAGAGUGACUUGUACUUGGCUCAAUUUAGUACACUAUGGUUGUUGAUCACAACUUAGUCUCCUCGAGACUGGGGUACCAAACUCACAGAUGACCACUUUGUAUGACAACUCCAGUCAGUUAACAUCACCCCAAGCUUCAGUUUGCCUAUAAUUUUAAUUCUUCACCCUAUGUUCAUACUGGUUCCUGUUCUCAUUUUCUUUCAAUGAAGCUCAAAGAACAGUACAUCAUCUUUCAAUCAGGUCCUCUGACACUUCCCAUAUUAAUGACUUGGAUGUGAGUGUAGGAGUUUACAGAUGACACGGAAAUUGGUGGUGUUGUAGAUAGCAAGGGAUAUAGUCCAAGGCUAUAGCAGGAAGUAGAUCAGAUGGAAAAGUGGGCAGAGUAUUGCAGAUUAAAUUUAAUCCCGAUAAGUGAGAGGUGAUAUAUUUUAGCAAGUCAAAUGGGAGUAGGGUAUAUACAGUAAACAGAAGGGCACUAAGGAAUGUCCAUGAACAGAGCGACCUUGGGGUUCAAGUCCAUAGUUCCCUGAAAGUGGCAACACAGGUAGACAGGGUGGUGAAGGUGGCAUAUGGCAAAUUUGCCUUCAAAAGCCAGGGCACAGAAAUAAAAGUUGGGACAUUAUACUGCAACUUCACAAAACAUUGGUUAAAAUUGCACUUGGAAUAUUCUGUGCUGUUCUGGUUACCACACUAUAGCAAGAUGUGAUUAUGCUGGAGAGAGUGCAGAGGAGAUUCACCAAAAUGUUGCCUGGAUUGGAGGAGCUUAGUUAUGAGAAGAGAUUGGAUAGGCUGGGUUUUGAUGACUCUGUUACUUAUUUUCUCCUUUAAUACUGAGUUACUUGACUUGACCCAUUAUUAUCCUCUCUUACAACAUCAUCCUUCAUAAUUAAGUCACUCCUGCCUUCCACCCUACUACAGAUGUUCCUUUCUCUGCACUUUUGUUCUUGUCUAAAAUCAGUCACAUCCCUAACUUUUACCAGUUCUGAUGAAGUUAACUUUGUCUCCCUCUGCAGAUGCUAGCUGAUCUGCUAGUACUUCUAACAUUUUCUGCUUUCAUACCAGAUUUCCAGCAUUCAUAGUAUAUUAAACAAAUUGUGAUUUCUUGCAGAUGAUGCCCUCAUCUUUAUCCUCCAGGCUAUGUAUUGUUAAUCAGUAUUUGACCAAAGAAACGAUACACAAGGUCUCUGCCAAAUCCAUUCUUGGAGAGCAAUUACUAUCCCCGAGACCAAGAGGACAGAUGGACCAAUACUCAUCAACUGAAAUGCCAGCACAUGUGCUAAACUUAACAGAGGUGACAACUAUUUACAGGACCUGGAUGUAAUUCUGCAUCAACUGGAAGCUAAAUGAUAUCCAACAUCUACAAUUUUUCUUUUGAUUUUCACCUUCGAACAAGAAAUAUCAACUUUACAUGUCUGCAGUGAGUCAUCUGUAUUUAUGACGACAGUUAAGCAAUUUUGACCCAGCUGGGAAGGUUGACGGUAUUUUUGCACAGAAUAGUGCA